AGAGAAAGACGACUAAGGAUAAUUGCUUAAAAUUAAGCUUACUACGCUGUCAUUUUUUUAAAUCAUAAGAGUAGAGUCUCGUAGCUCAGCUGGUUAGAGCGCUACACUGAUAAUGUAGAGGUCGGCAGUUCGAGUCUGCCCGAGACUACUUCUUUUAAUAGGGAAAUUCUAGGGUUGAUAUAACCUUUAUGUCUACUCCUUUUAGGAAUUGACUUUGGGGAAUUAGCUCAGCUGGCUAGAGCACUUGAUUUGCAUUCAAGAGGUCAUCGGUUCGACUCCGAUAUUCUCCACUUUUUGUUUUCGGACAAAAACGAUCUUUGACAUGAUGAGAACACAAAAGUAUAAUCAAAAUAUAAAAUUAAUUUUGGUUGUGCGAGCAAAAUAGUAAAUCAAAUAAAACUAAAGAGAAUAGUUAUU
rnacentral:tRNA from 1 species